CUCGUUCCUCUCCUUUGCUCUCUAAGUCUCUAAGUAUAGAGAGAAAAAAAAGCUCAGUAAGCACUUUCACUCGUGAUUUAGGGCGAUUUAGAGUUGGAUUUUGAGGAUGAUGAAGUUGAAGAAAAGAUAGAUUAAGGCAUUAUUUCAGCACUUGGAGGAGUCAUUUGGAGUUUCUGUAGUAGGAAUAGCCGUGCAAAGUGAACUACGAAGUUGAAGAUCAAGGUAAAAUAAUUCAUCUUAGUAGCAAACAAGGAGGAGAAGACGUGAUUGAAGAAAUUGUGUUUCCAUUUUCGCUGUCCCAUUUUGAGGUGAUGAACACAUACAUGGAAGUGCUAUUUUCAUACUUUUGUUAGCAGGAAGAAAAAUCCGUGUGUAAUAUUGUUGUUAAU